ACGAACUCUGGUAUUGAUUGGUGCUUGCAUCAUGAUUUACAUUUGAGUGAGUGGCGAACUGGUGAGUAACACGUGGGAAACCUGCCCAGAAGCGGGGGAUAACACCUGGAAACAGAUGCUAAUACCGCAUAACAACUUGGACCGCAUGGUCCGAGCUUGAAAGAUGGCUUCGGCUAUCACUUUUGGAUGGUCCCGCGGCGUAUUAGCUAGAUGGUGGGGUAACGGCUCACCAUGGCAAUGAUACGUAGCCGACCUGAGAGGGUAAUCGGCCACAUUGGGACUGAGACACGGCCCAAACUCCUACGGGAGGCAGCAGUAGGGAAUCUUCCACAAUGGACGAAAGUCUGAUGGAGCAACGCCGCGUGAGUGAAGAAGGGUUUCGGCUCGUAAAACUCUGUUGUUAAAGAAGAACAUAUCUGAGAGUAACUGUUCAGGUAUUGACGGUAUUUAACCAGAAAGCCACGGCUAACUACGUGCCAGCAGCCGCGGUAAUACGUAGGUGGCAAGCGUUGUCCGGAUUUAUUGGGCGUAAAGCGAGCGCAGGCGGUUUUUUAAGUCUGAUGUGAAAGCCUUCGGCUCAACCGAAGAAGUGCAUCGGAAACUGGGAAACUUGAGUGCAGAAGAGGACAGUGGAACUCCAUGUGUAGCGGUGAAAUGCGUAGAUAUAUGGAAGAACACCAGUGGCGAAGGCGGCUGUCUGGUCUGUAACUGACGCUGAGGCUCGAAAGUAUGGGUAGCAAACAGGAUUAGAUACCCUGGUAGUCCAUACCGUAAACGAUGAAUGCUAAGUGUUGGAGGGUUUCCGCCCUUCAGUGCUGCAGCUAACGCAUUAAGCAUUCCGCCUGGGGAGUACGGCCGCAAGGCUGAAACUCAAAGGAAUUGACGGGGGCCCGCACAAGCGGUGGAGCAUGUGGUUUAAUUCGAAGCUACGCGAAGAACCUUACCAGGUCUUGACAUACUAUGCAAAUCUAAGAGAUUAGACGUUCCCUUCGGGGACAUGGAUACAGGUGGUGCAUGGUUGUCGUCAGCUCGUGUCGUGAGAUGUUGGGUUAAGUCCCGCAACGAGCGCAACCCUUAUUAUCAGUUGCCAGCAUUAAGUUGGGCACUCUGGUGAGACUGCCGGUGACAAACCGGAGGAAGGUGGGGAUGACGUCAAAUCAUCAUGCCCCUUAUGACCUGGGCUACACACGUGCUACAAUGGAUGGUACAACGAGUUGCGAACUCGCGAGAGUAAGCUAAUCUCUUAAAGCCAUUCUCAGUUCGGAUUGUAGGCUGCAACUCGCCUACAUGAAGUCGGAAUCGCUAGUAAUCGCGGAUCAGCAUGCCGCGGUGAAUACGUUCCCGGGCCUUGUACACACCGCCCGUCACACCAUGAGAGUUUGUAACACCCAAAGUCGGUGGGGUAACCUUUUAGGAACCAGCCGCCUAAGG
rnacentral:rRNA from 2 species